AGGAAGUGAGUCCCGCUGCUCACAGCAUCCCCCCAACCAGUCCACAUCUCUGCAGCUAUCUCACCACCUUCCCUACUUCAUUGUUUUCCAUGGCACUUAUCAACAUCUGACAUUUGCAUAUUUCUUUGUCAGACUCUUCCAUAUAAACUUCAUGAAAGCAAUGUUUUACAUGUUUUAUUUACAGUGGUAACCACAGUACCUAGGACAAUGGAUAGAUACAUAGAGGACACUCAACUAACAUAUGAAUGAAUAAAUGAAUGUUUGAAUGAGAAGAAAACUCAGUAUCAGAGUGAAACAAACGAGAAAUUACUAAAGUGAAUUGGUUAGAGCUUUUGGGGGAAAAUUUCCUCGUUCCUGGGACCUGGCGUGUGCACGUACACAUAGCCAAGUAAAUGCUAUUGUGAAAUUAGACUUUCUUUCUUACGUCUUCAGGCUGUCUCAUAAAGUACUUGAGACUCUAGGCCUUUAGCAAUAAACUUGCUGAUGCAACUGAGUUAUAAUAUGGCAGAAUGGAUUUGGACACUAGUGUUAAGCUUGAAAUGUCAUAAUGUGGUUGGUUUCUAAAGGACUAGUUGGUGACAUGGUAAAAUCACUGGUUGCCCUGAUAUGAUAAGGCCACCAGCCCCUGUGAUCUAGCCUUGUUGAUAAAGAUAAGGAUUCCACCCAGCUGUUUUCUUUAGGGAGGUGCCCUGGCUAUCUCCCUAUAAGAGCCUAAAGAAACAGUACAAGCAGCCACCAUUGCACCAGCCACGACUGCUCCUGGAAAUGCUAUCU